GACGAACGCUGGCGGCGUGCUUAACACAUGCAAGUCGAACGGAAAGGCCCUGCUUUUGUGGGUGCUCGAGCGGCGAACGGGUGAGUAACCCGUGAGUAACCUGCCCUUGCCUUUGGGGUAAUUUCAGGAAACUGGGGCUACUACCGGCUAGGAGCUCCUGCUGCUUGGUGGGGGUUGGAUAGUUUCGGCGGUUGGGGAUGGUCACGGGGCUUAUCAGCUUGUUGGGGGGGUAGUGGCUUACCAAGGCUUGGACGGGUAGCCGGCCUGAGAGGGUAGCCGGCCACAUUGGGCCUGAGAUACGGCCCAGACUCCUACCGGAGGCAGCAGUGGGGAAUAGUGCACAGUGGGCGGAAGCCUAGUGCAGUCACGCCGCGUGGGGGGUGACGGCCUUCGGGUUGUAAUCCGCUUUCGCCUGUGACGAAGCGUGAGUGACGGUAAUGGGUAAAGAAGCACCGGCUAACUACGUG
rnacentral:rRNA from 1 species